rnacentral:lncRNA from 1 species
ACCACUUCAUCUCCUCUCUUCCCCGUCUCAUCUCCCCUUUCUCUCUAUCUAUGUACAUAGCUUUAGAAAUCAGAGAGAGAGGGAAGCCGCUUCAUAUAUAUAUUGUCUUUGAGAUAUGUAUGUCUGCGUGUGAGAGGUGUUGGUGAAACAUAUCGUAUACUAGAUGAUGUGAGUUGAGCGUUGUAGUUGUGGAUCGAUCUGGCUAGCUCAAACAAUCUUUCUAGCUCUAGUUUUUCUUCUUCUUGACAUAUGUAAAAUGGCCAGCCCAGCUGUCCAGCUUAUAUAUUAAUGAAUCGGUUGUGUUCUCAUAUAGACAUGGGAACAUUAAUUCCGAUAUCAGCAUAAAUCUUGAUUCUGGUGGCGGAGAGCCAUCGAGCAAGCGCUCCUUUUAGUGAUCACGAACAUCGAUCAGCUCGCCGCGAUUCUCGCAGUGUAGCUAGAAUCGGAUGAGGCAGACAGAUUGGAGCCAGGCAUUUUAUAUAUUGCUCUUUUUCAGAUUUUUAUACGAUUAAUAUACGUGUUUUCAGUUUUCAUUUCUUCCGGACAAGUUGUAUAGUAGGUUCAUGGGUUUUUAUUCCGACGUGUAUGAUCUAUGUGUGUGGUCCGUUUACUUGAUAAUACAGGUUAAUUUCGGCUUAAUAAAUAGAAUAUGGUCCAACUUUUUAUAAAAAUUAAGCUCACGCAUCUGUAAUUCGGAGUUGUAUUUGUAAGACUCCCGAGAUGAGAAACAAGGAUACGGUUGUCGGUAUGUGAUUGCGUGCAUAGUGUGAGUGUGCAUAGUGCAGGUGGGGAUGCUUGGAUUCGACAAAUCUGAUCUCACAGGGAAUUCAGUGCGGCAUGUAAGAUGUCGGCUUUCAAAAAGUAACGUGCAUCCGGCUCAGUUUUGCCUUUUCAAUCUUUCUUUGCUCUGAAAAUAAAAAACAGCUCUGGAUUUAGAAAUUCCCAAAAUAAAUUGGGCUGGUUCAUUUCAAAAGACGUAGGUCCAUUCAGUUGAUGAAAUGAGACGAAGAAAAAAGAAUGAAAUGAAAAAUUAUUAAAUAAUUUUAUAUAAAAUGAAUAAUAUAUGAAAUAUAGUAUAUAAAUAUGAAUGAUUUUAGAUUUUGGUGAUGAAGAUUGUAGACCAAAUGGAUGAAGACG